GCUGGGCGUGGUGGCGCCUGCCUGUAAUCCCAGCUACUCGGGAGGCUGAGGCAGGAGAAUCGCUUGAACCCAGGAGGCGGAGGCUGCAGUGAGCCAAGAUCAUGCCACUGCACUCCAUCCUGGGUGACAGAGUGAGACUCUGUCUCAA
rnacentral:SRP_RNA from 1 species